UAAUAAAAGCAUCUAUCUUAUAUAACCGUAUAAACAUGUAGCUGGCAGUUGUUUUUAUAAAUGUAUUGGUUCAGAGCAACAAUUGAGAAAUUGCAAAGGUUUCAAAUCACACUGAGGCUGUGGUUUGUAGUUGUCACUAAAUAUGUUGAACUUCAAAUACUACUGAUAACCUAUAUUUGCUAUUUCUUUUGGACCAUUAUGCCAAUGUGACUGCAUAUGUAUGUACAAGUUGUUUCUGAAUAACUUCAAAGAAGAAUUUGCUUUAAUAUUAAUACAAUGUGUGAUGGCGUACUUUCGGUUUGUGCUUGAGUGUAUUUUGUCAACGUUUUUUGAUUACCUCUUUUUGCUUACUUUGUGCACCACUGAAGAUAGUAUAUUUAUGUUGACUAUGGUGUAUAAUGGAACUGAUAUUGACACUAGAUUUGGAAAAUGAAGUGAUAAAUUGAUCACCCGUUGAUAAUGUUAGGCUAGGUAACGUUAUUAUAUAUUGUAUGUUUAAGUGUAUGUUAAGUUUAACAAUGCAAAUGCCCAAUGCUGUGAUGCGUAAUACAUUUGUAAAUGUC